rnacentral:rRNA from 1 species
CUACGGGAGGCUCCAGUGGGGAAUAUUGCACAAUGGGCGCAAGCCUGAUGCAGCAACGCCGCGUGAGUGAAGAAGGCCUUCGGGUCGUAAAACUCUGUCCUAAGGGAAGAAAAAAAUGACGGUACCUUAGGAGGAAGCCCCGGCUAACUACGUGCCAGCAGCCGCGGUAAUACGUAGGGGGCAAGCGUUAUCCGGAAUCACUGGGCGUAAAGGGUGCGUAGGUGGCUAAUCAAGCCAGGAGUGAAAGGCUAUGGCUUAACCAUAGUAAGCUUUUGGAACUGAAUAGCUUGAGUGCAGGAGAGGAAAGUGGAAUUCCUAGUGUAGAGGUGAAAUUCGUAGAUAUUAGGAGGAACACCAGUGGCGAAGGCGACUUUCUGGACUGUAACUGACACUGAGGCACGAAAGCGUGGGGAGCGAACAGGAUUAGAUACCCUAGUAGUC